rnacentral:rRNA from 1 species
AACGAACGCUGGCGGCAUGCCUAACACAUGCAAGUCGAACGAGAUCUUCGGGUCUAGUGGCGCACGGGUGCGUAACGCGUGGGAAUCUGCCCUUUGGUUCGGAAUAACAGUUGGAAACGACUGCUAUACCGGAUGAUUAAGAAAGUCCAAAGAUUUAUCGCCAGAGGAUGAGCCCGCGUAGGAUUAGCUAGUUGGUGUGGUAAAGGCGCACCAAGGCGACGAUCCUUAGCUGAUCUGAGAGGAUGAUCAGCCACACUGGGACUGAGACACGGCCCAGACUCCUACGGGAGGCAGCAGUGGGGAAUAUUGGACAAUGGGCGAAAGCCUGAUCCAGCAAUGCCGCGUGAGUGAUGAGGGCCUUAGGGUUGUAAAGCUCUUUUACCCGGGAUGAUAAUGACAGUACCGGGAGAAUAAGCUCCGGCUAACUCCGUGCCAGCCGCCGCCGUAA